GACGAACGCUGGCGGCGUGCUUAACACAUGCAAGUCGAACGGAAAGGCCCUGCUUUUGUGGGGUGCUCGAGUGGCGAACGGGUGAGUAACACGUGAGUAACCUGCCCUUGACUUUGGGAUAACUCCAGGAAACUGGGGCUAAUACCGGAUAGGAGCUCCUGCUGCAUGGUGGGGGUUGGAAAGUUUCGGCGGUUGGGGAUGGACUCGCGGCUUAUCAGCUUGUUGGUGGGGUAGUGGCUUACCAAGGCUUUGACGGGUAGCCGGCCUGAGAGGGUGACCGGCCCCCUUGGGACUGAGAUACGGCCCAGACUCCUACGGGAGGCAGCAGUGGGGAAUAUUGCACAAUGGGCGGACGCCUGAUGCAGAAACGCCGCGUGCGGGAUGACGGCCUUCGGGUUGUAAACCGCUUUCGCCUGUGACGAAGAGUGAGUGACGGUAAUGGGUAAAGAAGCACCGGCUAACUACGUG
rnacentral:rRNA from 1 species